rnacentral:rRNA from 1 species
GGCUCAGGACGAACGCUGGCGGCAUGCUUAACACAUGCAAGUCGAACGAGAAUCUGCGGAUCGAGGAUUCGUCCAAGAGAAGCAGAGGACAGUGGCGGACGGGUGAGUAACGCGUGAGGAACCUGCCUUUCAGAGGGGGACAACAGUUGGAAACGACUGCUAAUACCGCAUAACGCGUAGAGGUCGCAUGGCCUUUACGCCAAAGAUUUAUCGCUGAAAGAUGGCCUCGCGUCUGAUUAGCUAGUUGGUGAGGUAACGGCCCACCAAGGCGACGAUCAGUAGCCGGACUGAGAGGUUGAACGGCCACAUUGGGACUGAGAUACGGCCCAGACUCCUACGGGAGGCAGCAGUGGGGAAUAUUGGGCAAUGGGCGCAAGCCUGACCCAGCAAUGCCGCGUGAAGGAAGAAGGCUUUCGGGUUGUAAACUUCUUUUGUCAGGGACGAGUAGAAGACGGUACCUGACGAAUAAGCCACGGCUAACUACGUG